UAUAUGAUUAUAGAUCCAACACCUAAUAUUUUCACACCCAACACAUAUGAUGCGAUCAAAGGCACUUAUCAGAAGUGGCCAAAUGAUUGUAUCACCAUGUAAUAUUUUUAAGAGCAGCGAAGAACACAAAUUUAGUUAUAAAUUCAAUAAUGCUUAGUGGGAGAAAAUCCUUCAAAUAUUGAAGGAGUUCUUUUGCACCUUUGAAGAUGUAUCUUCAGUGGGAUAACAAUCCUUAGAGAAAGAAAAAAGUGCAAAAGAGUCAUGC
rnacentral:lncRNA from 1 species